GCUGGGUGUGGUGGUGCACAUCUGUAGUCUCAGGUACUCUGGAGGCUGAGGUGAGAGGAUUGCUUGAGCCCAGGAGUUCAAGGAUGCAGUGAGCUGUGAUUGUGCCACUGCACUGCAGCCUGGACAAUAGAGCAAGAUCCUGCCUCAA
rnacentral:sRNA from 1 species